GAUGAACGCUGGCGGCGUGCCUAAUACAUGCAAGUCGAGCGAACAGAUGAGGAGCUUGCUCCUCUGACGUUAGCGGCGGACGGGUGAGUAACACGUGGAUAACCUACCUAUAAGACUGGGAUAACUACGGGAAACCGGAGCUAAUACCGGAUAAUAUAUUGAACCGCAUGGUUCAAUAGUGAAAGACGGUUUUGCUGUCACUUAUAGAUGGAUCCGCGCCGCAUUAGCUAGUUGGUAAGGUAACGGCUUACCAAGGCAACGAUGCGUAGCCGACCUGAGAGGGUGAUCGGCCACACUGGAACUGAGACACGGUCCAGACUCCUACGGGAGGCAGCAGUAGGGAAUCUUCCGCAAUGGGCGAAAGCCUGACGGAGCAACGCCGCGUGAGUGAUGAAGGUCUUCGGUUCGUAAAACUCUGUUAUUAGGGAAGAACAAAUGUGUAAGUAACUAUGCACGUCUUGACGGUACCUAAUCAGAAAGCCACGGCUAACUACGUG
rnacentral:rRNA from 1 species